CUUGCAUAGUUUUUCAUAAUGAAUUUAGUCUUUCAAAAAGAUUAAUGCUUGGAUCCAAGUAUGAAGAGAUUCUGAUUUAGUUGUGGUUUGGGCAUUAGGAUACUUCCCAAGAGAUUUUAAUGUCCAGCUAAUGGUUCAUUCCUGUCUUUCCCUCACUUUAUUCUGGUCGUCGCCUUCUUCCCUUCCUGUCAUCCUCAUUGGGCUUUCUCAGAGUCCUCCAGGGUUGGAGCUAUGGACGAGAGAAGAGAAGACAACAUCUUACCCAGGGACAGAGAUAGAGUAUUCCGUUAUUCCAGUGCAGAUCCUCAAGUAAACUUUUUUGUGGGGAACCCAAGAAUGGAGACCUCCAUUCACACAACAUCAAUUCUCCCACUGGCAGCAUGCUGUCUGCUCUAAAGAGCAAGAAAACAAAUGCCAAGCUUUAAUCAGACUGGUGUGGACCAUUGGAACUUUCGGAUCAUUUAGCCAUGCCUAACUAUGUCAUGCAGCUUCUCAUCGGAAUUAUCAAUGCCUGCACCUAUGCUCUGCCAUGAAGAGGUUACAAAACACUGAAAAUGAGCAGCGAUUCUAGGCUACCUUACCAUUCUUUUUCCACAUUCGUUAAAAAAAAAAAGUAACAGUUUCAAUCUAAUAUUACA